rnacentral:rRNA from 1 species
GUGGGGAAUAUUGGACAAUGGGCGAAAGCCUGAUCCAGCCAUGCCGCGUGUGUGAAGAAGGUCUUCGGAUUGUAAAGCACUUUAAGUUGGGAGGAAGGGCAGUAAGUUAAUACCUUGCUGUUUUGACGUUACCGACAGAAUAAGCACCGGCUAACUUCGUGCCAGCAGCCGCGGUAAUACGAAGGGUGCAAGCGUUAAUCGGAAUUACUGGGCGUAAAGCGCGCGUAGGUGGUUUUGUAAGUUGGAGGUGAAAUCCCCGGGCUCAACCUGGGAACUGCUUUCAAAACUGCUGAGCUAGAGUACGGUAGAGGGUGGUGGAAUUUCCUGUGUAGCGGUGAAAUGCGUAGAUAUAGGAAGGAACACCAGUGGCGAAGGCGACCACCUGGACUGAUACUGACACUGAGGUGCGAAAGCGUGGGGAGCAAACAGGAUUAGAUACCCCGGUAGUCC